GUGUCCGAGGGCACCAAGGCCGUCACCAAGUACACCAGCGCCAAGUGAACAGUGAGUUGGCUGCAAACUGAACCCUAACGGCUCUUUUAAGAGCCACCCAUAUUCUCAAAGAGAGAGCUGCCACUUAUUCUGUGCUGAUCCGGUGACUCAUUACAGUAGUCUGAACAAUCCCCAGGUUUUCCUAUUACAGUAACUAAGCGGCAAAACUAAUACUGGGUCUUAGCCAAGCUCUGGGGCUCCUGUGCAAAGUAACAAAGGCUCUGAGCUUGUCCCUCACUUAGGAGCUAGCUACUUUCAAAAGGGCUCUGUCACCAGUUCGAAUCACCUUUAGAAUUAAGUAAACGGUGGAAGAGAAAACAAGCUGGAAGCAAAUUCAAAUACUCCCCAGUCACCCCUUGAGAACAGAGCUGGACUCCUGCCCAGGUUUCGGGGGUUGCGCCUACAGUUUGAAUUUGCCGCCCUUCCUCUCUGCGCCCUGAUUGGUUCUGGCAUCUGAGACCCCCCCCCCCCCCCCCAGCCCAGCACACUCAGGCACCUAGAGUAAAUAUUCUCCGGCUGUCUAUCCUGUUUUCAUUCUCUUAAGCUUUCUAAACUUGCCAGGAGUGAGGUGUAGUAUUUCCUCUUGGAAUUUUCGUUGGAGAGAGGAAUCUGGAAGAUGUUUUCAGGCUGAGAAGUACCAAUGCUGUAUUUCCAAUUAGGCUGCCGGUUUCCUUCUGCCAUAUACCCAUAUAAUGGAAAAUGUCACCAUGACGAGAUAGGGCUAUUUGGGGGUUCGGUGAAGGCAAAGAAGCUUGCUAGCAUCCAUCCCAGACUCCUGUAAAACGAGAAUCAGUUUUUCUUUUCAAGUUCCUUUGGUUGGCGCUUAAAGCUGCUGUUUGACAUUGUUGGGAACCAGUAAGGAAAAAGCACGCUCCGCGUCGGUUAGGUUGCCACAAAUCAGAACCAGGCAGCCAACAAUGUGUCUCUAGAUUAUAAUUCUUCAAUAUCUUGUGUCUCUUAGCUAAACAGCCAUGAUCUGUAAAGCAUUUGGAAGCCUCCAGUCCGGCUGGUUUGGGGUUUAGGUAGUAAUUUUAAAUGCAUUUAAUUGAUAUAAAUAAAUUACCCAAUUUAUCUAAAACGGAUCUAAAUUUAACACAGCGAUAAUGUCUAAAACAAUGUUUUGUUAGAUCCAAUGUCAAAUAUAGGCUUCUCCUUUGUUGACUCGAAUCCUACUCCUGGUUCAGUGCCCACGUCAAUCUGGCCUGCUCUCCAAAAUACCCUUUCCUUGUCCAGCAUUUGGGAACUGCCUCCGUAUAGUCUAGGUAGUGAAUUGCUACUAAGUGGUUUGCUGUAUGUUUCCCCACAGAAAAUGUGCAGUCAAGACAGGAAAAAUAAAGAAGGAAGAAAAGAGAAAGUUCUUUCCUUCAUCUCCACCCCACACUCAUGAUAACCGAGUACCUGGAAACAACAUAAUUUUUGUCACUUCUUCUGUCAUACGAGCCCCCUGAUCCUCUCCAUUAAUCCAAAUAAUCAGAUGAUAAUGUUCAAGCUAAA